CCUAGGUCAAUUGUAGUAUAAUGAUGCUAAUUUUGAAGUUAUAGAAGCUCUAAAUAAAUUCAAUCAAGAAAGCAUCCAACUGAGAGAAGGGAAAAAGAGCCUCAAGUACCAAAAUGGUAAAUUAUUUCACUUUUUAUUUCUAUUCGAUAAUUCUGCUUUGCUUUGCAUCUUAAAUAUUAUGGGUAAAAUGUAUUUAAUAAUCUUAUUGGGUAUAACAAUAAGAUUUUAGUGAUAAUCUUUCUGUAGGGAGUUUUAAUCUUGCCAAUCCUUUUUUUGGCGUUUUGAACACAAAGAUUAGAUCAGAAAACAAAAUAAUUGAAUCUCAGUGUUUGCACCUUUCUCUGUUUUCCUUCUUAUUUUGAAAAUCCAUUUAGUGGGUUGAUUGUCAAGUAUCUGUUCGGAGUCUUUUCUUUUUAGCUAAUCGUUUUUUAAAAUAUGUUUGUUAAGUAGAUAGAUUAAAGUUAGCCAGUCAUCUUGAUCAUUAGUUUUGGUCUGUGUCUGCCAAUUAGGUCUGGUUGAGAAUAAAAAGUUUCUUCUUACCCAACUCGUCUUUUUAUGGACAGACAUUUAUGGGAAGGAACCUUGAUAACAUAGGUCUGGUUUGGUCAUGUACAUGUGGUUCGACAUUUAUAGAAAUGAAUGUCAGGCUUUGCACGUUUAACUGAUAUUUCAAACCAUUGUUUUUCUAGGGACGUAUGGUUAGAUAUUCAGGAAGAACUCUCAUUGGUGCCUAACUUUUUACUUCUAAUUUCAGCUUAAAACAAAAAGUUUAAAUUUCAGUAAGUUUUUUGGUUGCUAUCCUGUUCUUUUGAUCAAUUUGUUAGGAGAAUGGUAAGGUGAUGCUAGCUUUAUUAGUUUUGUUUGUGGUUUUGAUAUUUUUGACUCAGUAAUUAUAUGUUUUGUGAUUUCUUCUUGCUUUUUUUGGCAACAACAGUUGUCGUUUAUCUAGACUUGAAAAGAGUUCUUCUAGCAUUCCAAUAAUCUCAGUGAGCAAUCCGGAGAAAGGAGCCUUGCGGUUAUGUUCUUAUGAUGAGGGAGUUUCUAUACCUCCUUAUGUGUUUCUGUUUUAGUCAACAGUAUUAACUCCUAAUAUUCUUACUAGAGAAUGUACAAUAAUUUAAGCUAGCUAAGUUGUAUGUAUUUGUAGGGUUCAACACUUUGAAUGUUUGAGGAAGUAUUAUUUUACAUUAAAAUAUAAUUCUUUUUUUUUUUUUUAAUCCUGACUGAUUUGGAACUAUGGAAGGCUGAGAUCUUCUUACCACAUCUUUCAGGUAUUAACUCCAACUAGUGUUGUCAUAGAGCACUAAUCAUGAGGGAGUUCUUUUUUCUUUGAAUAAUGGGUUUUCUAUUUUGAAUAUGAUUAUAUUAGAUUGAUCGAGGGAAGUUAUGGGGUUUCUAAUUCAUUUGGUUCCUUACUUCCCAGAAGUCCCUUUCUCUCAUCAGGUUGUAGGUUAAAGAUUGAAAAAUAAGCUAUUUUGGAUGUCAUUAUCCAUAAUCUUUUAUUUAAUUAAUACUCUUAAGUAGUAGUGAAUUUUGAGUAUUGGCUUUUCUGAGAUCCCACUAGCUUGUGGAGAUAUGGCUGCCAUCAUUGAAAAAUUGGUUCCGUUUUAUAAUUUUGUGAUUUAAUUAAUUGCAUUAUGAUAUUGAGGAGCCCUGUGCAUUGGUUUUUGUUCAUUUCUUAGUCUCUACCAGCUUAUGGAGAAGUGAUAAGUGGCUUUUGUCACUAUGUGCUUCGCUUCUCAAGGCCUUGAUUGCAAUUCUCAAAUUUGGGUACAUUUGAAUAAACUUGACUAUGACUGUUCCUUUCUUUAAAAAAUUAGUUGCAGGCUUGUGCACAGGUUUUUAUUUUGGAUCCUCGUAUGUGGAGCUUGUGUAUUAUUAGCCUCUUUUAAUUCACAGAAUUUGAAUCAUAAGCAUAUUUUUUGCAGAUUGUGACAUGGUUUAUUGUUCUGGCAAUUAGAGGCUCUAUUCUGAUCAUACCAACAAUGCUCUUCUACUGAUUGCUCUUCUCCAGUAAUUUCCACGAUUCUGAGAUCAUCAAAGCCACUGGAAUAGUCACAAAGACUGCUUAGGCUGGGGCUGCCUAUAACCUCCUGCUCUACAUGUUGGCUAAUCAUGUCUUAGGAGCCUCGUGGUAUCUGUUGUCAAUUGAGCGUCAGGUGACGUACUGCAAGUAUGCUUAUAGACAUGAAAGUGCAGUCUCUCUUAUUUGGAUUGUGGUACUUUGAAUAAAGAUGAAAGCAAACUAUGAGGAAACAAUACUCAGGUGUUUAAUGGCUGUGAUCCAAAAAAGUGAGUUCCAUCAGCCAGGGUUUGGAAACUGCAUUUGCUACACUUAUUGCUAUCUCGGGUCUGGUUCUUUUUGCCCAUUUAAUUGGAAAUAUGCAGACUUGCAAAGAGUUCUUCUAGCAUUCCAAUGAUCUCAGUGAGCAAUCCGGAGAAAGGAGCCUUGUGGUUAUGUUCUUAUGAUGAGGGAGUUUCUCUACUACCUUAUGUGUUUCUGUACAAUAAUUUAAGCUAAGCUAAGUUGUAUGUAUUUGUAGGGUUCAACACUUUGAAUGUUUGAGGAGGAAUUAUUUUACAUUGAAAUAUGAUUUUUUUUUCUUAAUCCUGACUGAUUUGGAACUAUGGAAGGCUGAGCUCUUUAUGCUAUUGCCUACUGAUCUUAUGUCUUCCAUUGUCGCAAAACUGUAGUUUUAUUGCAUUAUUAAUAGACAUCAAUAUAUUAUUUUGGGUGAUUGCUCUA